rnacentral:rRNA from 1 species
ACCGGCAAACGGGUGCGGAACACGUACACAACCUUCCUUUAAGUGGGGAAUAGCCCGGGGAAACCCGGAUUAAUACCCCGUAAUAUAAUGAAGUGGCAUCACUUUAUUAUUAUAGCUCCGGCGCUUGAAGAUGGGUGUGCGACUGAUUAGGCAGUUGGCGGGGUAACGGCCCACCAAACCUACGAUCAGUAACUGGUGUGAGAGCACGACCAGUCACACGGGCACUGAGACACGGGCCCGACUCCUACGGGAGGCAGCAGUAAGGAAUAUUGGUCAAUGGACGCAAGUCUGAACCAGCCAUGCCGCGUGGAGGAUGAAGGUCCUCUGGAUUGUAAACUUCUUUUAUCUGGGAAGAAAUGCAUUUUUUCCAAAAUGCUUGACGGUACCAGGUGAAUAAGCACCGGCUAACUCCGUGCCAGCAGCCGCGGUAAUACGGAGGGUGCAAGCGUUAUCCGGAUUCACUGGGUUUAAAGGGUGCGUAGGUGGGUUGGUAAGUCAGUGGUGAAAUCUCCAGGCUUAACUUGGAAACUGCCAUUGAUACUAUCAAUCUUGAAUACCGUGGAGGUCAGCGGAAUAUGUCAUGUAGCGGUGAAAUGCUUAGAUAUGACAUAGAACACCAAUUGCGAAGGCAGCUGGCUACACGAAUAUUGACACUGAUGCACGAAAGCGUGGGGAUCAAACAGGAUUAGAUACCCUGGUAGUCCACGCCCU